rnacentral:rRNA from 1 species
CCUACGGGCGGCAGCAGUGGGGAAUAUUGCACAAUGGGGGAAACCCUGAUGCAGCGACGCCGCGUGAGCGAAGAAGUAUUUCGGUAUGUAAAGCUCUAUCAGCAGGGAGGAAGAUGACGGUACCUGACUAAGAAGCCCCGGCUAACUAUGGGCCAGCAGCCGCGGUAAUACGUAGGGGGCAAGCGUUAUCCGGAUGUACGGGGUGGAAAGGGAGCGUAGACGGCAGGGCAAGUCUGGAGUGAAAGCCCGGGGACCAACCCCGGGACUGCUUUGGAAACUGCCAUGAGAGAGUGCUGGAGAGGUAAGCGGAAUUCCUAGUGUAGCGGUGAAAUGCGUAGAUAUUAGGAGGAACACCAGUGGCGAAGGCGGCUUACUGGACAGUAACUGACGUUGAGGCUCGAAAGCGUGGGGAGCAAACAGGAUUAGAUACCCUAGUAGUC